rnacentral:lncRNA from 1 species
AGCUCCACCUUCCCCUGCAGCAAUAGCCAGGCCCUAAAACACCGAGCUCCGCUGCAUCUCAGCGGGAUAGAUAGAGAGAUCGGAUUGCAUCUCACAAGCACACUUUAAAACAUGAGUUGAUGGAUGGCAUCCGUAGCCGAACCCUAGUAACAAUUGUGUAUUAUUGAUUGGCACAAUCAGAACCUAACUAACAACCACCUUUCAGUGUCAGUAGAUCUAUAGAUGUUGCAUCCCACUUCACGUCCUAAGAUUGUCUACAAAAACUUCACGUCCAAGUGACAGAAGCACAAAGGCUUCCAUCAACAAAAUAAUUUUUUUCAUAACAAAAUCUCUGCUAUAAAGGAUGCAACUAUGACGAAGAUAUGCCUCUGUGUUUACCUUACAUCAUCAGAAGUUCAAAACUAAUGCUAGAUUUGUUUUUUAUAGAGAGAUGCUAGAUAUGAUAAUACAACAAUAGUAAAUGCCACAUGAUCCAUUUGUGCAACGUGUGCCCUCCAAUUCUUAUUUAAGUGCUGGAAUAAAAAGGGCAAAGCAGUGGGACAUCACCACCCACCCAUUAAAUUUUUUGGAUAUUAACAAUAUGACUUUAAGGGGGAAAAUCCUCACUGAACAGUAAGCUCCCAUUGCUAAUCAAAUAAAAAUAAUUGAUCAAAAUAUGCAGGUUUGGCCCCUAUCCCAAAGCUACUCCCUAAUGUGCCUUAGUGGAAUAUAGUCUGCCGCAAUCAAAAGAUGAAAUAAACAGCAGCGACAUUGCAUUAGGAAGGUUCGUUGCAUACAUACCAGAUGUACUCGGCGACGAACACGGUAGUCUCAAUGGCGAGGGCCAGAACCUUCAACCCAGAUGCUCCUCCCGACGCCCCACACCCUUGCUGCCGCCGACUUCGUGUGGAUGGCUUACUUGUCCUGCACCAUGAAUUGGGCACGACAAAGAUUUUACAUUUAGGAAAAAUUUUUACCAUAAUGUGAAAGCACUGUAAUUAUGUGGCAUAGAAGGACAUUGACUUUAUGCUUGCAGAUUUAUCACCUCUAGCAACGGUUGCCAAAUUGCCACAACGAUAGAGCCCCAACCAGAUUACUGAUCUAUCUUAACUCUCAAGUAUUAACUUAUUAAAUGUAAAAUUCAGAUGCAAGUGCAGUAGAUUUAUCACCUCUAGCAACGGUUGCCAAAUUGCCACAACGAUAGAGCCCCAACCAGAUUACUGAUCUAUCUUAACUCUCAAGUAUUAACUUAUUAAAUGUAAAAUUCAGAUGUAAGUGCAGUAGAUUACUGCAGUUUAGCACUAACUGUACAACCAACAAUUAAGAUUUCAGAGGGCAAGCACUGUAGAAUAGCAUAUGCUACCUUCACAUCGGGUCCAUGAGGUGUCGUGCAGCCACUGUGCGAAACCGACAGGCUCAGCCACGGUAUGGGGCACACUUAUCUUCAAAUCCCGACAAUCAACAUCGUCCCACACUGGAAGAUGCCAAGGCAAUUCUGAACCUGACGCCCUACUGUUCUUUAAUCUCUACAUCCCAAAUCAACUCUGGAUCAACCAAAACAAUAAAAAAACAUUAGUAAGUACUAAAAGGGAAAUUAAUGGCCGAAUUUGGAUAUUUCUGCAUGCAUCAGACAUGCAAAAGUACUGAUUCUAGGCACAUGAAUCGUACAUUUGGAUGCUUGGACGGACUGGUUGCAUCAAAGAUAAUUAAGCUCUCAGUGUUAGCAAGUAUAAUGCUUAAAUACUGGUAGAAUCAUGUUCCUCACGCAUGGUGUUGCAAUAUUGCUUUUGGCGUCUAGCUCAACCAAAACAGCCGAGAUGAGACAACAAGGAAGCGGGUCAGUGUUGUACCUCAAGGAUUUUCCUUCUGAACAAAUUCAGCAAAAUAGAUUACCUGGCAUAUAAUCACCCAGUCGCUCCCAAGGUCCAAAGGCACAGGAGACUGCGACCGGGACCUUCGCAAGAG